GAUGAACGCUGGCGGCGUGCCUAAUACAUGCAAGUCGAGCGAACAGACGAGGAGCUUGCUCCUCUGACGUUAGCGGCGGACGGGUGAGUAACACGUGGAUAACCUACCUAUAAGACUGGGAUAACUUCGGGAAACCGGAGCUAAUACCGGAUAAUAUAUUGAACCGCAUGGUUCAAUAGUGAAAGACGGUUUUGCUGUCACUUAUAGAUGGAUCCGCGCCGCAUUAGCUAGUUGGUAAGGUAACGGCUUACCAAGGCAACGAUGCGUAGCCGACCUGAGAGGGUGAUCGGCCACACUGGAACUGAGACACGGUCCAGACUCCUACGGGAGGCAGCAGUAGCGAAUCUUCCGCAAUGGGCGAAAGCCUGACGGAGCAACGCCGCGUGAGUGAUGAAGGUCUUCGGAUCGUAAAACUCUGUUAUUAGGGAAGAACAAAUGUGUAAGUAACUAUGCACGUCUUGACGGUACCUAAUCAGAAAGCCACGGCUAACUACGUG
rnacentral:rRNA from 1 species